UGGUCCAAUAAACCCUUGCACUGGACUGUGACAGCAGGAGACCGUUGUGAGGCUCUGAAAGAGUCAAUAGCACAGAUGGGAGCUGAGCUAGGUGGUUGCAGCAGACAUGAGCACCUGUACUUGAGAAUGAAGUCUCUGAGAUAAAUCACUGCUCCAGUUACCCUGGAGGGAUCACUGCCAGGAUCCUUUGUGCUGGCUUUGUUUCUGUGGGAGAGCAGGACUCGUCAGGGGAAGAAAUAUUAGAGGGCAAAACCUAUCAAUGCCCCAAAAAUUCCCUAGGAGAUGAGCUUGACAUGGAUGUCAUCCUUCCAGAUUGGGAAGGAAUCAUGCAGUGACUGGGACACCCCUGUGAGACACAAAUGCCACCAGCUGCCACAGGAGACUUGUAGCCCCAUUAAAAUCUGUUACUCCCCCUGAAGUCCUGAACUUUCUGCACUGAAAGAAAUCUGUCUAAUUGUCAUGGCCAACUGAUGGUGUGUGAAGGAUUUGGGCUAACCAAAGAGUUACUAGGUUCUUCAGUGCCAGCUGUCAGCUAUGUGAGACACUCCAAGUGCUUUAUUCCCCAGAGGAUAUGGAUGCCCUGCAGUCUUGCAACUUCUGUGGUGAUACUCCUGUCUGUCCCAUAAAAUCUCGAGGUUCAGCAGUGACAGUGGUCUUCCUUCAAAGGGCUGUGGCAGCCAUGAAAGGCUUUCUCUCAAUUUGCUCUAUCAGAAAACAUCAUCUGAUAAGUCUGUUGUGAUUUUGGGAGAGGAUGGAGAAGCAGAGUUUAAAGUAUGGCUGUUCUAUUUAAAAAAAAAUUAAUCUGUCUGUUCUGAAGAGUAAAGGCCAUUAAUAAGAAGAGAUCUAUUUGAGAUCUUGAGAGUUGAUGAUUGAAUACUUAAGUAACGAUCUAAUGACUGUACUCAUUUCCCAGUGUAAACCUGUAAAAAUGAAAUACCUGUUUUAGCUGAUGCUCUCUUUCUGCCCCUUCCCUUUGCAUUCUGCUCUACAGAACCAGAGCCCCCUGUCCCCCUGCCCAGUCUGUUAAUGCCUCUAUGAUCUCUCUUCUGCUGCUUCCCCUGGUUAGGCACUAAUACUGCCAGGUGCUGCUGCUACCCCUGCUCACUCCCCAGCCUCCAUCUCUGCCACAGGCCCAGGGACACAGGCAGUUAAUUGGGCUCUGAGCUUAAAGGCAGAAGCAAACCUCCCUCAGUCUCUUGUUUCCCAGGCAAGGGCACAGCUGGUGACAUGGGUGGACAGUUUUCUCUCUGAAGAGCAGAGCUGCCUUGGCAUCAUUAAGCAAAUUAGUACUUUGAACCCUCAGAUCAGAGAAACUUGGAGCUUGGAAAGAUGUGUCCAGUCUGUCUCUUCUGUUUUGUGGGAGCAAACUGUUUUGCUUUUCUAGCUAUUUGAGCCAUGUGUAAUCUUCCCCAUCCCCCUUUCUUCAGUCUUACCUGUGUUCCUCACUGCUCUGUGAAUGAGCACAUCUGCUUGGGGAACUGUCUUCAGAAGCAAAGCACAGCAAUUAAAUGUCUCAUAUUAAAAUGCACCAGACUUGCAGCACCAUCAGCAUAGAUCUGUUUGCUUUUUCAUGUGCACACGCACAUUUCCAAGGUGAAUAUGAAACCCUAGCUCUGAAAAUGAUGAGGUACCUCCUCCAUUCACAUAUGUCACUGUGCUUCUUUUGGCUGUGGUAAAUUUUCUUCACUAGAAAGCAGCUAGUAAGGGUCUGUGUUCUGGAUUUAUGCUGAAAAGGGCAUUGGCAAUAGAGAGGAUUUGCACAGAGCCAAGGCCUUUUCUGCUUCUCACACCUCCCUACCUGUGGGGAGGCUGGGGCUGCUGCACGACAGGUUGUGAGGGGACACAGCCAGGACAGCUGAUCCUGACUGACCCCAGGGAUGUCCCAUACCUUGAGGCAUCAUGCUCAGCAUAUAAAGCUGUGGGAAGAAGGGGGAAGUGGAGGAAAUGUUUGGAGUGGUGAUGGUUGUCUUCCCAAGUAGCUCUUACCCAUGAUGGGGUCCUGCUGUCCUGGGAUGUCUGAACACGUGCUGGCUCAUGAGAAAUAGUGAAUUCAUUCCUUGUUUUACUUUACAUGCAUGGAAUUUGUUUUACUCCUUAAACUUCCUUUAUCUCAACCCACAAGUUUUCUCACUUAUACUCUUCCAAUUCUGUCCCUGAUGCUGCUGGUGGGGAAGCAAGCAAGUGGCUGCAUGGGGCUUGGUUGCCAGCUGGGGUUACACCAUGACAGCCACAAAGCAGUGCUGCUGUUAUAAAAAUGUUUAUUUGCUGAAUGUGCUUUGCCUGAAGCUACUGUCUGAGAUCAUUCCAAUAUACUCUUCCAUGCUCUGAUGUAUCCAAAACUGCAGCAAGUUAAUUCAGUGCUCACCCCAGGCACUCCCACGUAGGUGGUAGUCCUCAUAUCUCUGCAGUCUGCAGUGCCACCACAUCAAGCACAGGAGCAUCCCUGAGGAAUGAGUGAUUAUUUAAACUGGUUUUUGGGUUGGACUGUAUUUGUUUAAGAAAGUUGCUUAUUGGGAAGGAGGAUUGGUCUCGGCAUGGAACUGACCUCUGAUUAAUUAAUAACUAUUGUCUGCAACCUGACACUCUAAACGGGAAGUAGAAAAAUAAACAGCUUAAGCCAUCUGUGCUAACUUUUGCUUGAGAGCAUGGCUGCUCUUAUGAGAUGGUUGUGCCUUUUCCUGGGGCACACAGAAGGGGUAGAGGGAGCCCACUGUAAAAAGGGCAGUUCCCAUGACAUGACCCAGAGCACCACCAAGAGAGGGGGAGCAGAGCCAUUGUUGUACCUUAAUAGUCUCAGAUUUCUCUGAACCAGCUCUACUAAUAACAAUAUUUUAGUGCAUUUAUUUUGUUAAAGUCUAUUUCCCCCCCAAAUUCAUCCUCUGCUUUACUAGUUUCUGAGGAAAGUAAAUAUUUUUCACUUCCAGUUUUGUUCCUUUCCUUUCUCAUGCCUCUUGUGGUCAGUGGAAGCUGGUGGGUGUGCAAUACAGGUCAUUUAUGUACUGUUUAAUUUGCCGUUGUAACUUGAGAUGGUUGGAAACACUUUGGCAAACUAAUUUUGGAAA